UACGUAGGUGGCAAGCGUUGUCCGGAUUUACUGGGCGUAAAGGGAGCGUAGGCGGACUUUUAAGUGAGAUGUGAAAUACUCAGGCUCAACCUGGGGGGCUGCAUUUCAAACUGGAAGUCUAGAGUGCAGGAGAGGAGAGUGGAAUUCCUAGUGUAGCGGUGAAAUGCGUAGAGAUUAGGAAGAACACCAGUGGCGAAGGCGACUCUCUGGACUGUAACUGACGCUGAGGCUCGAAAGCGUGGGGAGCAAACAGG
rnacentral:rRNA from 1 species